UUGUUUUUUAAGCGUUUAUUAGCGAGUGGGAAACUUCCGACAUGGCCGCCAUCUAUUCAAAUGGGGGUAACCGCUGGAAUAUUCUUGGCUUCAAUUUUACUAAAAGAGAUGCCAAGAAUAUUCCAGCGGUUACCCCCAUUUGAAUAGAUGGCGGCCAUGUUGGAGUUUCCCACUCGCUAAUAAACGCUUAAAAAAGCAACAAUAACUUUCAUCAUUUGAAU